UGACCCAUAUCUAUACACCAGUAACUUGCACCACAAAGUGUUAUCUUCACUAAGCCCUCUCCACUUCCAUUUGCAUAGUAAAGCUUGAUUGAACAAAUCAAGAUUCUUAAUACCCAAACCUCCUUUAUCUAUAUGCCAGUGCAUGUAUCAUUCAUCCUUGCAUUGAAUUUAAUUAUACUUAAACCUUAUUACUCCUAUAUACCUAACAAAUCACCUUUAAGAUUAAAAAAAAUAUGGUAUAAUAAUGAAGUGAAAACAUAACCAAUUGAAUUUGUGCACAUAUUUA
rnacentral:lncRNA from 1 species